rnacentral:rRNA from 1 species
CCCGCACAAGCGGUGGAGCAUGUGGUUUAAUUCGAUGGUACGCGAGGAACCUUACCAGGGCUUGACAUACGCCGGAAGCGCAUCGAAAGGUGCGUGCCGCUUGCGGCCGGCGUACAGGUGCUGCAUGGCUGUCGUCAGCUCGUGCUGUGAAGUGUUGGGUUAAGUCCCGCAACGAGCGCAACCCCUGCUGCCUGUUGCCACCACGAGAGGUGGGGACUCAGGCGGGACCGCCGGUGACAAACCGGAGGAAGGUGGGACGACGUCAAGUCAUCAUGGCCCUUAUGUCCUGGGCUACACACGUGCUACAAUGGCCGGUACAGAGCGCAGCGAGGCCGCGAGGCGGAGCGAAUCGCUUAAAGCCGGUCCCAGUACGGAUUGGAGUCUGCAACCCGACUCCAUGAAGUUGGAAUCGCUAGUAAUCGCGCAUCAGCAUGGCGCGGUGAAUGCGUUCCCGGGCCUU